AACCGUAAACCUAAAUAUCUAUCAACAAAGCUAUUCGCCAGAGUACUACAAGCAACAGCUUAAAACUCAAAGGACUUGGCGGUGCUUUAUAUCCCUCUAGAGGAGCCUGUUCUAUAAUCGAUAAACCCCGAUAAACCUCACCACCCCUUGCUAAUCCAACCUAUAUACCGCCAUCCUCAGCAAACCCUGCUAAGGCAACAAAGUAAGCAAAAGAGUUGCACGCUAAAACGUUAGGUCAAGGUGUAGUCUAUGAGGUGGGAAGAAAUGGGCUACAUUUUCUACUCAUCAUAGAACAGUAUAACGCUAGCCUGAAUGAAAUUAUGGCGAAAGGCGGAUUUAGCAGUAAAUUAAGAAUAGAGAGCUUAAUUGAAUAGGGCAAUGAAGC
rnacentral:rRNA from 1 species